rnacentral:lncRNA from 1 species
GAAACAGGUUAGUUUCCUUUGUAAAGUGAACGACGACUCCUACAAACUUCUUCCUGCUCUCGUUUUAUCAACAUGGAAAGAAAAGUCUACAUGAUGAAACCUCAAAAUACAGGACGAUGAACAGACAUCAGGAGUCAGAGAAGAUGACUAAAGAAAUAGAUGGAGGAAAGUACAGAAUAUCAAAAUGUCAACCUCAAACCACGGUGAUUGUCGUCCACAAUCCUCCUCGUAGGAGAAGAUGGAGCAAAGAACAACCUCCUCAGAGUAAGUCUUUAUCUACAUAAAUACAUUAAGUUAUGUGUCGAAAUUAUGGGCAAUUUAUUCCCAUCAAAACACAAGUGAUUAAAAGUAUCUUCUGCUGCUGGAUUCUGGUUAUUUUGAUCUGUGAUGUUGGAUUAAGGUCAAGAUCC